UAGGGAAUCUUGCGCAAUGGGCGAAAGCCUGACGCAGCGACGCCGCGUGAGGGAAGAAGGCCUUCGGGUCGUAAACCUCUGUCCUUGGGGACGAUGAUGACGGUACCCAAGGAGGAAGCCCCGGCUAACUACGUGCCAGCAGCCGCGGUAAUACGUAGGGGGCGAGCGUUGUCCGGAAUCACUGGGCGUAAAGGGUGCGUAGGCGGCUUGGCAAGUCCUGUGUGAAAGGUCGCGGCUCAACCGCGGUGGGUCAUGGGAAACUGCCAAGCUCGAGUGCCGGAGAGGAUAGCGGAAUUCCCGGUGUAGCGGUGAAAUGCGUAGAGAUCGGGAGGAACACCAGUGGCGAAGGCGGCUAUCUGGAAGGUCACUGACGCUGAGGCACGACAGCUGGGGGAGCAAA
rnacentral:rRNA from 1 species